AGAGUUUGAUCCUGGCUCAGAAUCAACGCUGGCGGCGUGCCUAACACAUGCAAGUCGAACGCGAAAGGGGCUUCGGCCCUGAGUAGAGUGGCGAACGGGUGAGUAACACGUGGGUGACCUACCUUCGAAUGGGGGAUAACGUCCCGAAAGGGACGCUAAUACCGCAUAACAUCCUGCCUUUGAACAGGUGGAGAUCAAAGCCGGGGAUCGCAAGACCUGGCGCUUGAUGAGGGGCCCGCGUCUGAUUAGCUAGUUGGUGGGGUAAUGGCUCACCAAGGCGACGAUCAGUAUCCGGCCUGAGAGGGCGGACGGACACACUGGGACUGAGACACGGCCCAGACUCCUACGGGAGGCAGCAGUGGGGAAUUGUUCGCAAUGGGCGCAAGCCUGACGACGCAACGCCGCGUGGAGGAUGAAGGUCUUCGGAUUGUAAACUCUUGUUGCUCGGGACGAAAAGCUUCGACCUAACACGUCGAGGUCUGACGGUACCGAGUGAGGAAGCCCCGGCUAACUCUGUGCCAGCCGCCGCGGUAAUAC
rnacentral:rRNA from 1 species